CCCCACUUGCCCAGUGUGGAAAAAAGAGGAAGGUGCCUCUGAAAGUGUGGCUGGAAGCCUGCAGCAGUUUUGCUAUUGCUGAUUUUUAUAAAAACCUAAGUCAAUUUGUAACUGAUGACUAUUCCACAGGGAGAGAAAUCCAAAAUAGGAUCACUGUUUUCCUAUGCUAUAAUCAUAUCUUACCUUGUCCUUUGGAUUAUUUUUCCCAUUGUGGUCUUAAACUUGAAGGGAACGAAACAUUUAUCUAAUUUAUUAAGAAAGAAAACACGUUCCUUUGUAAGGUAAGUACUUCGUGGAGUAAAAACUCCUGAAAGGGCAAACACUUCUUUGAAUGCCAGUAAACACCUCAUUUAUUUCAUGUGUGCAGUUUGAUUUGCACAUGUACAAAUGGAGAUGCUCUUUGCAUUUUUGCUUUGAUUUUGUUUUUGUCAUUGCUUAUCACAGUUUGAUUUCAGUGUUUGCUGUGUGUUUGGAAAUAGUCGAGUCUGUUUCUUUGGUGGGAUUUGUUUUCCUGAUGUGCCUUUUCACUUUUCUUUGGGAUUGGUUUUUGGAAUCUGUGUGCUAUUGCAGGGUGACAGCAGGCUGCUGCUGGUGGGACCGGUACUUGGGUGAGUGCAGAUGUUCAGGUUGGGCACCAGAAAUGCCCCCUAGGCCACAGCAUUUGUGUGUACACAUGCGCUCCCAGAGGAGGACUCAAGGCCGUGAGAAGGCCAAGAAAAGGCCUGGCUCCCUCCUGGGGUUUGCGGUCUGUCUUGGGGCUGCUGGCUGCCAGGGUACCGAUGGCACUGAUGGGUCUGCACUCCCUGCCACCCAGCACUUGCUGAAGUGUUGUCAAGGCAGAAAGCCCCUCCUCCACGAGGGACUGUGAGCUUUCUAGAGGAAUAGCCCAGAAAUACUCAGGCUGGUUAACAUCAUGAAGGAGAAAAGACCUGUACCCUCUCUUUUUGUUUCCUGGAUGGAUGCAGGUUGAAUAAAUGUAAUCAGUUUCCACUUGGGAGUGGAGCCACACUACCACUCACUGGUAAGUGAAGAUGUCAGUGUGUGGGGUUGGACUGAAAGAAAUUACUGUGUACAAAUGACUAUGUGCUUUUCAGAGCAGACCAAGGUGGAUUACCUAGAUUGUGUAUGUAAUUAGACACUGCUUCCCUCUCCCCGGCCCACAAAUUCUUGAUUUUUUUUUUUAAAGUCUAUUUUGUUAACGACAGGCUCUGUUGUGUUGCUAGCCCAAGCCUGGAUUAUUUUAUUUAUUUGAAAAUAUUUUAAUUUCCAUAUUGGCUUUAUUCUAAUCCCAUCUAUCCGUGCGGGGCCACAAAGCAUCUUCAUGUGACUAGAUGGACUUAUGUAGAUUCAUGCUCAUUUAGGAAGCUGGCAGUUUCGUAAAGCUAAGCGUGAGUUCCUUUCACUCUUGUUGGCUUCAACAAGUGGAACAACAAAUUUUUACAUGUAGCAAAAGAUCAUAUUAGCUGUAUAGUCUUGGAUGCAGGAAAAAAUAAUUACCCUAUCUCUCCUAGCACUUAGGGUUUUGUGAGGAGUCAGUAUUUAGUACAGUGCCUGGCACAUAGUAAGCCCUAGUAAAUGUUAAAUAUUGUUAUUAUUAGCAUUUCAUAAAACCUGACAAAUACGGAGCUGAGCUCCUUCCCUGUUCCUCAGAAGUAAUACCUACAUGGAAAUAUUAUCCCAAGUUGAUGAAUGUUGUAGGAAUUACUGGUUUAGAGUGCUCAAGUUCUGCACCUACCCUCCUAGUUGAAAUUUUACUGUAUUCUUGGAUGCACUGAGUCCUUUGAAAAUUUGUUAGACAUCAGCCCCCAGUGAAAAAAGGCUGCAAGCGUUAAGUGACUGGAGACGAAAAGUGUGAAGGUGACGUGUGGCCACUUACUGACCCUCACCCCACUGAUAUCUUCUGGAACAUUCCAGGGCUUUUCUUUGAUGAACUUUCUGAGCUUGAAAUUAAAAGACCUUUGACAGACUGCACCCCAAGAAUUAAAGUUAAUUUAUUCCUUUGCAGUGGAGAGAGACUUUUCUGUGUCCCUUAAGGAAAAAGAAAUGACCAAUUGAUUUAAACAUUCCCCUAGGAAGUCCCUUCGUGGCACUCUGCUGGCCAGGGUGGGCUCUAACAGGCUGGUUAGCUCUCAUGUUUCUACCAAUUAAAGGUUAAUUCCAAAAAACAGGGGUGUGGGCACAUGCCUGUAAUCCCAGCACUCUGGGAGGCUGAAGCAGGAGGAUCACAAGUUGAAGCCCAGCCUAGGCAAUGUAGCAGAAUCCUGUCAGAAAAUAAAAUGGUCUGGGGAGGUAGCAAGUCACAAAAGAAAGAAGAAAAAAAAAAAAAAGUUAAUCCCAUAUCCUGGUCCCAAAGAAAACCCACCUCCCCAGGGGAACCAGCUGAGAUCCUGGAGCAGGAAUUUGGGCCUCUGGCAGAACAGCUCCCACAGGCUGCUCGUGGUUCCAUGAUGCUUUCCCAAAUCACUUAAGUGUCAGUUUGUUGUCUUAUUGGGGAUUUAGCCUCCCAUACUGCCCUAGUGGAUUUAAAGUUUUAUCUCUUGCCCUAUGUUGACACAACUCUAGAUAGAUUGGGGAAAGUUUUUGGAGUUCAAUGUCUUUUCCAAAUUCCUUUGGUUGCUCUUCCGCUGUCCAGCAGUCUUAUAAUUGUAUGGAUGCAGUGAUUGGAAUUCACCUUCAGAGCCUCUGUCUCUCCUCCAGAUUUUGUGUCACCUUGGGGAAGUCUGCUUAUUUGGUGGUCAGGGACAGUGUCUGUGGAGUGGAGCGGGUAUCGGGCACACACAGCAUUGCAGUGACCUGGGCAGCAGGACGGGAUCUCAGGAUGGCCCCUCAUCCCCCUGGGCCGAGAUGAGUGAACACAGAGCAUUCUGCUCGCUAACCUGCCCAAGUGUUAAUAGCGUAAUUGUUGAUGCCAAAGGAGAUGGUUAUGUCCAUCUACAGGAGUUAGUUACAAUCUUGACAUUGUUAAUAGCCAUUUUGUGUCUGUGUCUUCAAACAAAUCCUGGUCCAGCUAUUUUCUACUGUGUACUUACGGGGUUAAGUCAUACAGGAUACUGCAAAUAAGGUGUUGCUGUCCAAAUGUACUGUACUGGCAUAGAGAGCACUGCUUUGUUUUCCACUGUUGUAGAGAAAACUAGGGAGAACUUUAUUUUUCAAUAAACUUUCCUUGUGUGACAGGUGCAAGUGAUUUUGAGGGGGCCACUGAGUACAGGGUCACCGGCAAAACAAAGCUGGGCUGUAGUCCAGCUGCCUCUCAUAGCUUGAAAACAUGUUUGAAAAAGCUGCAAGGAUGGUGAAGAUGAGGGGAAAGAACCGUUUUAUCCUUUACAUUACAUCCACCAGUGCCAAGUUCAGAGCACUCCCUGUGCUUCGUUCACCUAGAGGGGAGCUGAACUGGAAAGUGAGCUGCUACACUUGUGUUUUGAGAUACUGUCUGCAACAAAGUAGGGGAGGCUGAGCACCAGAACCAG
rnacentral:lncRNA from 1 species